rnacentral:tRNA from 1 species
GGGGUGAAAUGGGGGUGCAGAGCUAACUUGACACGGUAGGGGUCGGUGGUUCAAGUCCACUCGCGCCCACCA